AACAGGGAAGCCUGUAAGGUAAAACUUAAAAAAAAAAAUCAAAUAAGGCAGAUUAUAAAUUUUUUUGUUCACAAAAGAACAAAGGAGAAAAGGGGAAGAAUAAAAACAUUCUCCAUCUUUAAAAGAAAAAAUAUUAACAACCACAAGGUGCCACUGUAUUUUAGCAAGCUGUAAAAAUGGCCUUUUAAGAGGAAUUUUGCAAUCUUUACCUCCCUAUCAUUUGGGUAUUUUGGGAACUGACUGAAAAUCAUGGCUGAUGGUUCACCCAUUUCAUGUCAUGGAGGCUUGGGAAGCAGGUAGUUAAAUACAAAGCAUAUUAUGUGAUAACCCUUCAUAAAUAUAAUUUGAGACACUGACACUAGGAGAGGAUACUUGGCACAGAAAAGACAUGUUAUUCGUGGGGGGGACACAUUACUUGAGGAAACACAGCCAACCAGUUUCCUAAUCUUAAGGUUUGGAUGAAUUCCAAUAAUCGUUUUUAAAAACUCUGUGUGUGUGUGUACACACACAUAUUUUAUUUCCUGGUGCUAAAGGUCUUCUUAUGAACUGUACAAUUACCUACAUUCCAACACUAAUGUGAACACUUUUCUUAAUCCCCACCUCCAUUAACACCAUUAAGGUGUAACUAACAUGUUCUUUUCAGAGCAAAUAUUCCAAAUUAACAAGGUGGCUCAUCUUCUAUAGUGUUGAUACAAAGUCUGCAAACUUUUAACUUAACUUGCUCAAUUUUGUUUCUAAUAGUACUAAUAAACCUCAACUUUGGCUGGGCAUGGUGGCUCACACCUGUAAUCCCAGCAUUUUUUGAGGCUGAGGCAGGCACAUCACUUGAGGUCAGGAGUUCAAGACCAGCCUGGCCAACAUGGUGAAAUCCCCAUCUCUACUAAAAAUUAAAAAACUAGCCAGGUGUGGUGGCAUGCGCCUGUAAUCCCAGCUACUCAAGAGGCUGAGGCAGGAGAAUUGCUUGAACCCAGGAGACGGAGGUUGCAGUGAGCUGAGAUCGCUCCAUUGCACUUCAUCCUGGGCGACCGAGUGAGACUCUGUCUCAAAAAACAAAACAAAACAAAAAAAACCUCAACUUUGUCAGCUGCUCAGAGUUAAAACACUUCAAAUGUUUCAGACUAGAAAUUGAGUUUUUAAAAACAUCUGAAAUAUUCAAGAAAAUCGGUUUUGGUAUUUUUCCUUAUGCUUUUAACAAUGUUAACUCCCAACAUUGUUUAUCCUUGUUCCUCUUACUGCAUGAAGUUCAAACUAGGUCUUAAAGACAACUUUUCUGUACUUAAGAAAAAGUGCAAAGAUAGAAAAUGAAAUGUAAGGUGUUUUGCAAGAAAUGCUCCCUCGAGAAUGGUGUUUGGAUGUGGGUGGGGGGAAAACGAUUUUUGUUCUCCAUUGUAAUCUGACACCUACGAAUGACCUUGUCUUCAAUGUCCACAACACUAGUUAAGCAUGUAAUAAUCACGGACAUCGCAAGAUUAAAAAUUAAGUAGCAAAUUCCACUAAAACACUUGUAUUCAUUCUAUACAAUCGAAUGGAAAUCCGUGAGUGCUAUUGAAAAAGGUGUUCACAUGCACAUGUCCAAUAUGUGCAUUCCACUCAAGGCUAAAAGCUUAAAAUUCUAUUUCCAGUGUUUAUGAAUAGCUUCAAUAUCUACAUUCAUAGCCAGCAUUCUGCUUGAGUUACCUCUUACUUUAAUACUUCACAAAUGAGUAGUACGUCUUGGGAGAUUAGGAAGGUACCUGUUGUCAAUAACUUUCUCUUAUGCUUAGAAUGUGCUGCAAUUGUUUUUAAACUAUUUAAAAUGAACACCCCUGUAAUAAUGAAACACUUUAUGCCAAGAAGAAAAUUGAUUUGUUUUUAGCCAAUCAAGACUACCCUGCAGAUCUGAAAACCGUAGAUUACAUCCUUAGGAAAGGAGAAAAGGAGGCUCACAAAUAUAAAGGAAUCCUGACUUUUACACGGACAAAUUUUUAAAAAGAUAAAAUGUAUUACAUAAGCGCCAUAAACAGUGAAAUCUGCUUAUAUUUAAAAAAAAUAAGUGAAGCUUUGUUUGGACAUUAUUUCCUUGCAAGAGCAGUACAUAUCCUUAGUAAACAACUACCAUAUUUACAAGUUAAUUUCCUUGAUACUUAGGUAGGAUUGAAAGCCAGAAGAAAUCAUGAAAGAGUGAGCUUUGAAAUAAUCUUUACAGCUAAGUUGAUAACAGUGAAGGUAGCCAGACAAUUCCUAAAGCAGACUUGUUUAUUUUGUAGAGUAUUUGACUAUGUCUGGGUAGCUAGCUUGCUUUGAUAAAGGCCAAGGACAAGCUCAAUCCCUAUUUUGGCCUGUUAAAGCUUUUCCCAGAAGAACAAAUAUCUGCUCCAUAGUCAUUCUAAUCCUAACCCCAGCUAGCCUCAAAAAAGAAAUUAGGCAAGAGGACUGGGGUUAUCAUGAAGUUACUCUUACUACGAAGAAACCAACAUAAAGUGCAUGUCCAUAGAUAGCGAGUCAGCAGUCUCAUUUUCAUAUAUGGGCAGCACAAUUAAAAUUUGAAUUUCAAAUAAACCAACAUGACUCACUUUCAACAAAGGAUAAAAAUCCCUUAAUCUUCAACUGGUCUUUAAAUUCGAGAUGUUAGGUUUGUGUUAGAGAUGGUAAUGAAAUAUUAUCAAGUGUGCACUGGUACCUAAAAUGACAAAUCUCAAAAACAACACAAAUUCGAGACUUUCCUAUUAACACACACAUGUGUACCAACUGCAAUUCAUAUGCUAAAAGUGGUUUUAUAGUCUCUUUCCUCCAUCUUUUCAUUUUUGAGGAGCAGACUUGUAAAAACAUCAAUUUAACUUGUGCUAGGUAGUAGUGGUUUGUUUUUCUUAAACCAAAACUCUGCCAAACUUGCUGGUCUUCUGCUUCAUCUACUCAGGUAGAAUACCAGGUCAAGCUGCUGCUGUGGCUGCUCUCACCAUAUGAAACCAGUUUGUAUCUGCAUUAUUACUGUCUUCAGGAAAACUUUAAAUUCUUCAGAGCAGUUUUCUUUACUCCUCCCAUAUUUCAC
rnacentral:lncRNA from 1 species